CAGGCCAACUCAGCAAUGAAAGGGUCCGGUUCUGAGCUUUAGAAGGAAAUGGAGUGACGUAAUAAUGAUCAUCUGAUGCUCUUCAGCCUGGAGAUUUAAUGUCAGAGGCUCCUGGAGUGAGAUUUAACCAGCGGGGCCCCGCGCUCUGGCCUGCCUCAUUUGUUCCACAUGACAUUUCCUCAGUGCAAGGGGCUGCUCCAGAGCUAGUCCUCUGCAGCUCACGGCUGCCUUGGAUCUGGUUUGUGCCUGCGAGGGAGAUCGUCCUGCUCCCGAGCGAAUGACACAGGGGUCUGCAAGGCCAGCUCAGAACGGAGAGAUGCUCAGCAAAGGCCUGCAGGCUUCCAUGGAGGGACUCCGAGGUCACACCUAGCCGCUGGGCUCUGCUCUCUGCAAAACCAAGCCAGGUGCUGCCAGGCCUGGGCAGGAUCAGAACCACCUUCAGCAGCUCCACAACCAGGCUCUGAGUGGGGUGUUGCCUCUGCAGCUCUGCCGUCCCUCUCUCGUGUCCCAUGGGCAGUGCAGUGACCAUCUUCUCCAUCCUUUGUGGGGCCUUUGCCAUGGCCAGCACCAUCACCUCGCUCUGCACAGACUGUUGGCAGAUUAACAGCAAAGGCUCAGUUGUUCUGAGCACCCGGUGCCGUGGCCUCUGGAGAGAAUGUGUCUGGGACAAGUUUGUGAAGAUCUGGACCUGUGAUGUUUUCAGCUCCUACCUGAAUCCACAUCCAGGCAUUUCAACCUCUGUUGGUGUCAUAAGAUACUGCGUGUAUGUCUACUCCCUGCACCAGUACGAGGUGUCUCUAAAAAUCCCAGGAUUCCCAAGCUUUGAAUACGGCUACUCCCUAUGGAUGGCUGUGGGGGGCAGCCUAGGGGCUAUUGCUGCAGCUGGUGUAUCCUGUUAUGAAGUCCUGUUUAAAAAAGAUCCCAGGGCAAAUGCAAAUGCAGUGAAGGAAGUAUCUGGGAGUGGGUGCACUGCUGGCAUGGACAUUGUGCGUACCUAUGUGUGAGCGAGAAGAGAUCUCCUGAGCCGGAGGACAUCAGCAGUGUCACCGAAAGUCACAGCUUGGUGACGUUUGACACAGCUCUGUGUGUGGAAAGGCUGGGAGAUCUGCUUUGUGAGCGUUUCUCAGAUACUGGUUCCUAAGGAUUAGGCUCAAGUAAGGGAUACAUUUGACAGGUUUCCCUGCUAGAUUUCUAGAAAUGUUUUUGGUAUCUACAGUUAGAUGGAACAGGCCGUGCAACUUCUCCCCAGAUCUCCUGGCCCGUGUUAUUCGCAUAUUGCUUUGGCCUGCUUUGCAUGCAGUAAAUAAGACGCCAAACUAAAGUUUGAGUCCAGGCAGGUAAAAGCGACUUGCUAAUUCGGUGCUCUGGGCUGUCAUAUGGGCCAAUAGAGACAAUGUGAUGUGAACACUUCGUCCAUAGUGCCCAAUAUGUAAUCACAUUCCCUUUGUUUUAGCCUUUGAACACCCCAUUUUCUGUACUGCUUUUGGAGGUUUUCCCCUACUUGGCAUUGGAGGCCUCAGCUGGAGGCAGUUCUGGGCAGCACACUUAAAGAAAGAUGGCGAGAGUACCCUGCAGAACCCCCAAAAACGAUGCAAAGUUUAGAAAACCUGACCCACAAGGAAAGGUUCAAAAAAUUGGGCACAGUCAAUCUUGAGAAAAGACGGGGGGCACCCAUGGGUGGCGGGUAUAAUAGGCUUUGCCUUCC
ensembl:lncRNA